CGCAGCAGGCGCGAAAACUUUACAAUGCCGGCAACGGCGGUAAGGGAACCUCGAGUGCCAGGUUACAAAUCUGGCUGUCGUGAUGCCUAAAAAGCAUUGCAUAGCAAGGGCCGGGCAAGACCGGUGCCAGCCGCCGCGGUAACACCGGCGGCUCGAGUGGUAACCGUUAUUAUUGGGUCUAAAGGGUCUGUAGCCGGCCGGGUAAGUCUCUUGGGAAAUCUGGCAGCUUAACUGUCAGGCUUUCAGGAGAUACUGCCUGGCUCGAGGCCGGGAGAGGUGAGAGGUACUUCAGGGGUAGGGGUGAAAUCUUGUAAUCCUUGAAGGACCACCAGUGGCGAAGGCGUCUCACCAGAACGGACCUGACGGCAAGGGACGAAAGCUAGGGGCACGAACCGGAUUAGAUACCCGGGUAGUCCUAGCCGUAAACGAUACUCGCUAGGUGUCGGCCACGGUGUGACCGUGGUCGGUGCCGUAGGGAAGCCGUGAAGCGAGCCACCUGGGAAGUACGGCCGCAAGGCUGAAACUUAAAGGAAUUGGCGGGGGAGCAC
rnacentral:rRNA from 1 species